GUAGUGAAGGCUGAGAUACUGCCAGACCUCUGUGUAUGUCCGACAUGAUCCAGCAGAAAAAAACUCUUUGAUUUGAAUUGUUUGCUGCUUUUCCCUGGUUCAAAUCAGAGCUGUACGUGUCAAUUAAUUAUUAUCCUUGGUGCAACACUGCCAUCUACUGCCACUCAUUGCAUAUAUCUGCUUUGCCAAAUUGUUCGAGACAAGAGACAAAGGAAACUGCAGAUGCUGGAAUCCGAAGGAGCCAGGCAGGAGGCUGGAAAAACACAGCAAGCCAGGCAACCUCAGGAGAGGGAGAGGUUGACGUUUUGGAUUUAACCAACCAGGCGAGUUGACCACGGUGAUGUUGAAAGGAAUAAACGAGAUGGAUUCUGACUUGACUGCAGUCAUGGCUAACCUCAAGAUUCCGUCCUGCACUGCGACCAUGCAGCAAGUGCUGAAGUUCCUCCUUGCUCAGGUCUGACUCUUGAAGUGUAUAUCUGGUGAUUGAAGACAGCUGGUGCCCAGACACACUCAUCAGCCUGAGACAAGAUGGUGGCCUUGUCCUGACCUGGUAUGGCUGACUUCAGAAUCUUUUUAAAAACCCAGGUAUCAGGGUGAAGAGCACAGUACCUACUAAUUGUGACCAUUGGCACAGACCCAGCAGUGCCUUCCAGAACCAGAGCACCAUGCUGUACACGUGUAACUACAAGAUUAGUUAGAUUAAAGGUGAAGAUGCAAGGGGUUUGAUCAUCUUUGGAUAAUACUUCCAUUACCUGCUUUGUGUAUGGAAUAUGCUGCUAUUGCCCACUUUGAGCUGCUUCCCAGACCAGAAACUUGUUCAGCUUUGUUUGUGGUCUAAUUGAAAUAAACUUUUUUUUUUUCCCUGA